UACGUAGGGGGCGAGCGUUGUCCGAAGUUACUGGGCGUAAAGCGCGCGUAGGCGGCCAUUUAAGUUCGGGGUGAAAGGUUCAACGCUCAACGUGAACAGUGCCUUGAAUACUGGGUGGCUUGAGUUCGGGAGAGGGCAGUGGAAUUCCUGGUGUAGCGGUGAAAUGCGUAGAUAUCAGGAGGAACACCGAUGGCGAAGGCAGCUGCCUGGCCUAGAACUGACGCUGAGGUGCGAAAGCGUGGGGAGCGAACAGG
rnacentral:rRNA from 1 species